ACAGCAGUAGCCGCGGGAAUACGGAGGGUGCAAGCGUUAAUCGGAAUUACUGGGCGUAAAGCGUGCGUAGGCGGUGAGUUAAGUCUGCUGUGAAAUCCCCGGGCUCAACCUGGGAAUGGCAGUGGAUACUGGCUCGCUAGAGUGUGUCAGAGGAUGGUGGAAUUCCCGGUGUAGCGGUGAAAUGCGUAGAGAUCGGGAGGAACAUCAGUGGCGAAGGCGGCCAUCUGGGACAACACUGACGCUGAGGCACGAAAGCGUGGGGAGCAAACAGGAUUAGAUACCCCGGUAGUCCCUGUCUCUUAUAC
rnacentral:rRNA from 1 species